GGGGAUUUAGCUCAGCGGCAUAAGCGCCUGCCUUGCAAGCAGGCAGUCCUGAGUUCAAUCCUCC
rnacentral:tRNA from 1 species